rnacentral:rRNA from 1 species
UACGGGGGGGGCAAGCGUUGUUCGGAAUUACUGGGCGUAAAGGGCUCGUAGGUGGCCAACUAAGUCAGACGUGAAAUCCCUCGGCUUAACCGGGGAACUGCGUCUGAUACUGGACGGCUUGAGUUUGGGAGAGGGACGCGGAAUUCCAGGUGUAGCGGUGAAAUGCGUAGAUAUCUGGAGGAACACCGGUGGCGAAGGCGGCGUCCUGGACCAACACUGACACUGAGGAGCGAAAGCCAGGGGAGCGAACGGG